CACUCAGAUAUGGGCGUUUUCAGAUUCUUACAGUUAUCGAUCUCAAGUGAUGUUAGGUUAGGGGCCAAACCCUCUUCCGGAAAGGACUCCAAUCCUGGGCAUUGGGAUAUGGUCAGGCUGCGCAGAGAUUUGAGGUUUCUCAUUUGAUGUGUUAGAGAUUUAAGAUUCUCACAUCCCUCAAUUUCAAGGAAUUCGAGGUUAGGGAUGGACAAGCCUCUUUCUGGAAAGCACUCCAGACCUCCACAAUCGUUUAUGUCGAGCUUCCGAAGGCUGUCAAGGCAUCCUUUUAGGCUUUUCAGAUUUGGAUACCCCUCAAGUCGUAAAUACUCUAGGGCUGUACUGUUGGGUGACAUUUUCUCUGACACUGACUCCAAGUUUGUGCAUCCAACAAUAAUAAGGCGCUUGAGAGUGGAGGGUAACUCCCCUGUUGGAAAGGAAUUGAGAGAGGAACAAUUCUCUAUCGUCAAUUCUUCAAGACAACAAGUGUUGCUGCUGGAGGUGGAAUUGUGGUGCAUCAGCCCCUCUGGUAGAGACUCAAGACUUUGACAAUCCCAAAUAUAAAGCUUCUUGAGUGUGGUGGGUAGCUCACCAUUUGGGAAGCAUUUGAGAAAUGGAGAACACUGAAUCGCCAAGACUUCAAGCGGACACGUGUUGUAGUUAUGAGGCAGCGAUUUUAGACCCCUACAAUAGAACAACUCAAGGCGUCUUAGCACUGGUGGGAAACCCGAAUCAGGAAAUGACUCUAGUUUGGGGCAACUCCGUAUCUCCAGCUCUUCAAGACGUGUGAGAGUUUGCAAUCCAUUCGACAGCUUCUCCAGAUUAGCACAAUCACGUAUUUCCAAUUUUUUAAGAUUGCAAGGCAGCCAUUGCUCCUCCCACAAACAUGUCAGCCCAUCACAAUCCUUUAUCACCAAUUCUUGCAAGGCUACCAAGGAUCUAGUAAAUCCGGUCCUCAAACAUGUCAAUCUUGAAAUCUGGAUGAGAUUUACAGUAACGAGGGAUGGAAGAUCAAAUUGAGCACCUCUCAACACUACCUCAUCACAUUCUGUGAAAUUUAAUUCACGGAGAGAUGCAAGUUUUGGAAGCCCACACAUCAAUCCCGGACAUUUUAACACUACAAGCUCUACUAGGGACUGCAGGCAUUUCGGCAAUUCCCCAAUCAGUUUUGGACAUUUCCUCAUAAAAAACUUUUCAAGAUGGGGAAAUGUUCCCACAUCUUCCUUGAUGAAAUUAGAAUGAGACCAAUUUUCCCAUUCUGGCAUAUCCUCAAACCUCAACACCUUCAAAGAUGCAAAAGGAUUCAUACUCUCUCCAUAAAAUUCAGCACCUAUGCUUUUAACUUGGCUCAUACCUUCGAUACACAAAACUUUGAGCACCGAUAGUCCACCCAGAUUUGGUAAUAACAUGCAUUUUUUGCAAUCUCUGAGAGUUAGUUCCACCAUUACUGAGAAUGAGGGAUCUCCUAACCAACUUGGAAAUUUGGAUCCACCAUAAAAUGCAAUUGUGAGCCUUCUUAAAUUUUCACGAGGCUGCAGGGACUCCAAGACACGUGAUUCACGUUUAUCGUUUCGUGCAUCCCAACAAUCAUCACUCCACUCCAUGGUCAACUCUUCAAUUUUUUUUUUAUCUUUUAAAUUAGCAGCUCUUGCCUCUCCAACAUCCACUACCUCUUGCAACCCAGAAAUAGAAAGCACUCCUUGGAGGUUCGAACAAUUCUUGAGUUCUUCAAUUCCAACCCCUCUACUUUUGCUCACAAUGAACCUAGUCAACACUUGCAAAUUUGUGAGGUUGCUUAAUUGGAAAGGCAUUUCUUCUAGUCGACUUGUACCCGUAAUAUCAAGGUGCCGAAGGUUUUUCAGGUUUCCAAUCCCUAUAGGCAAUUCGGUAAGUGCAUAACAACGACGUAAUAUCAACGUUUGUAAAUUAUAAAGAUGACCCACUGAAUUAGGUAGACUUCGUAUCCUAGAGUAGGAAAAAUUGAGAUAACGCAGAUGUAUUAACUCACCAAUCGAACUUGGUACUUCACCCAUGCCACAACCAACCAAAGAUAGUACCCGCAAGUAUCUCAUUGGCAUUAUUAGGUUAUGUAACACCUGGUUAGAUAUAUUUCCGAACAAAGUACGUGAAUAUUGAGGCACUGCUAUUAACGUGCGUAGAUUCUUCGCUUUGUCAAAGGCUUCCAAUUUUCCAACAACCUCAAAUUCUUGCCGAGUGAAACAUGAAUGACGAGCUCUUGUAGAAAUAGCAUGUUGGUCAUUGUUUCCAAAUUGAAACAUACGUCUCCAGCAACCAAUUGAGCAAGAUCAUGAAUAAGAUCAUGCAUCACAAAUUGUGAUGAAUGAUGAUUUGAUUGUUGGAAAAAAGACCUUGCUAAUAAUUCAUGAAAGUACGCGGUGCCUAUCUCCUCCAUCUGCUUCUUUCUGUUCACCUGGUGAAGGAAUCCCUCUCCCAUCCACAGCAAGACUAAUUCAUCCACAUUGAAUUCGGAGUCCUUUGGAAAUAUAGAGCAGUAAGCGAAGCAGCGCUUCAAAUGAGAAGAAAGAUGAUGAUAACUCAAUUUGAGAGCUGGAAGAAUACUGUUAUUCUCUUCUGGUAACUCCCAUAUCUUGCUUCCGAGUAUUUCCUCCCAUGCAUCACGAUUUAGUUGUGUGCGCAACAUUCCUCCUAAGGCCUUUGCAGCCAAAGGUAGCCCCCUGCACUUUUUCACAAUUCGUUCGCCGACAGCUCUCAAGUGUGGAUGAUUAUCAAAGUUUCUGGUAUGUAUAAAUGCAUGCUGGGCAAACAAAGAUAAGCAAUCGUCAUUUGAUAACCCCUCGAGGGGAUAAUCUGAGCUGGCUCUGACGGCUGGUCCAACCCUUUGAUCACGAGUGGUGACAAUAAUCCUGCUGCCUUUUGCUCCAGUUCUCAUUGGCUUGAAUAAAAGGUUCCAUUUAUUACAAUCCCAACUCCAAACGUCGUCUAAAACAAGAAGAAACUUUUUUCCAGAGAGUUUAUCAUUCAGUUUGACUUGAAGCUGGUUGAGAUCGUUGACAUCGUUGACAUCGGACAUAUCAGUAGCAACAGACUGAAGAAUUGUCCUGGUUACCCCCACGACAUCAAACUCAUCAGAGACACAAACCCAAGCUCUUAGAUCAAAAUGACUCUUCACUUUAUAAUGGUUGUAGGCAAACUGAGCAAGAGUAGUUUUGCCCACGCCUGCCAUGCCAGUUAUGGCAAUGACACGGACUGAAUCGUCACUUGGCCCAUGAUAAUGGAGCAAGGAGUCGACUAUGGCUGCUUUCUCUGUUUCCCUUCCAUAAACAAUAGGUUCAUCCACCAAAGAAGUGGUGGGUAGUAUUUCUCUUGGUUUGGCGGACCUUUUCCCAGAAUUUUUUUCUGUUGAAAGGAGAUUAUUUUUCCGUGAAGAAAUAUGUUCCAACCUGGCAGUGAUAUUCUCUAUCUUGGACCUCAUCUCAUCAUUGAACUUAAUAGCACUUGGAGUGAAACUAGUACGACAAGAAGGGAUAAGACUCUUACUAGUGCUGGGUUGAGUUUCCGCCAUCAACUGCUGCCCCAAAGCUUGAGUGGCCAAGUCGUCCAGGAUGUCCUCCACAUCAUAAGCCAAGUCUCUGAGGUCGUCGAGCCAUUUCUUCACCGCUUGCUUUUCCAUCUGCUUCUCCUCCGCAUCCUCCAGCACGGCAUGAAUUUCCUUUAGGGUGUUCUCCCACUUGUUGAGCUCAGCACGAACUUGCACUGGGCGAGCAAAAUCGAGCAGGUCAGAGGACAACAACCUCUGAAACAGAGUUUCAAAGAAAGAAGACAGAAGAGCCUCUCCAACAAAAGCCAUGGAAGCAAGUACGAGAAAUCAAAGGCAGAGAAACGACUCAGAAUCAGAACAGCACAAGUAGAAAGCCAGACAAGGUUGGUUAUAGAGCAAUUAUAGAUUAAAAUGUCAUUCCUGUUUGACCACACCCAUAUUCAUUACUUUGUACGGUUGAGAUCCUCCAAUCAAAUUGUGAUUAUAAUUACAUACAUGAUGUUAGCACACUGUAUUAAGAUACCCUUUUAUUAAUCUAAUGAUUCGUAACAACUCCUGCAAUUGCUCUUUUAUUAAUACUCAUCACAUUAAUUAAAAAUUCAUCUAAAAUGUAAGGAAUCUCCAACAAAUUUCUUGAUGUGUGUGUGCAUAUUUUUAUAUUACAAGUGGGUUUCCUACUCUAUAUUUUAUUAUUAAUCUUAACAGUUGCCCUUUGUCCCCAUCUAAUUUGGAUCAAUAAUAUUGUCGGCCAACAUCAGUUUGUAAACACAAAAAACAUACGAAUUAAUCUUAGCCGCUGCCCUUUGUGUAGGGAAUUAAACCAAAUUCCCAACCCGUGAGAAACAAAAAUUAGAGAAAACACACGCCAAAGAAAAACAAUCACACGCACAAGACAGUAUUUACGUGGUUCGGCAAUUUGCCUACGUCCACGGAGUUGCAGGGAUAUCACUAUUAUCAGGGAAGAAUACAGAGUACGACCUAGCGGCUACAAUAUUCUCUAUAUAUAUAUAUAGCACGGCAACCCUACCAUACUAAAAAACCCUAAUUACAAAAGGUGGUUCCACAAUGGGUUAAACGGGCCCAACAGGCCUCAAUAAAUCUCCCAUUAAAAAGUCAUGCAAUAUUAUUCGGGUCGGGUCGUCAAAUCUGAUCAAACAAAACUAGGCUCCACAAAGCCCAACAAAUCUCCCACUUGGAGACUAGUCCAAUCACCAACAUCAAACCGCUAUCCUCCAAGAAACAAUCCCUCAUCCCUACAACUCAUCCUCCUGUCCUCAAGCUAGAAGACCAAUUGAAGCUGUACACAGCUUCAACUUCUCAAUAGUGACACCCUUAGUCAACAUGUCUGCCGGGUUCUUAGAUCCACAAAUCUUCUCAAGUAUUACUAGUUUAUCUUCAACAAGAUAACGGAUAAAGUGGUAUUUUGUUUGUAUAUGCUUCGACUUUGAAUGAAAAGCCGAAUUUUUGGCAAGAAAAAUUGCACUCUGGCUGUCACUGUGUAGAAUGCCCAUCUCCUGCUUCUUACCCAAUUCAUCUAAGAAACCAUGUAGCCAAAUCAUCUCCUUUCCAGCUUCAGUUGCUGCAACAUACUCAGCUUCUGUAGUAGACAGAGUAACAAUCUUCUGUAGAUUUGAAGUCCAUGAUAUAACUGUACCACCUAGAGUAAAAACAAACCCAGUAGUACUCUUUCUACUAUCAAUAUCACCAGCAAAAUCAGCAUCUACAUAACCCUGCAGUUUCAAACUUGCACCUGUGAAGCAAAGACAUGUAUCUAAUGAACCCUUCAGAUAUCUUAAAAUCCACUUGACUGCCUCCCAAUGCUGCUUUCCAGGCCUACUCAUGAAUCUGCUCACAACUCCCACUGCAUGUGCAAUGUCUGGCCUUGUACACACCAUAGCAUACAUCAAGCUGCCAAUAGCUGAGGCAUAGGGCACCUUGCUCAUAUGGUCCCUUUCUUCUUCUGUCUUCGGUGACUGUUCUUUGCUUAGUUUGAAAUGACUACCCAAGGGUGUGCUCACUGGUUUAGCUUCAUUCAUGUUGAACCUGCUGAGAACUUUCUUCACAUACUCUGACUGUGAAAGUUUCAAUGUACCAUUAGCCUUGUCUCUAAUGAUUCUCAUACCAAGGAUUUGCUUUGCAGCUCCCAAAUCCUUCAUUGCAAACUGUUUGGACAAUUGCUUCUUCAGAUUAUUAAUCUUCUCAAUGUCAGACCCUGCAAUAAGCAUAUCAUCCACAUACAACAGUAAUAUGAUGUAAGAAUUGUCAAAGGACUUAACAUAGCAACAAUGAUCAGCUUCACAUCUCUUGAACCCAAUUCUAUGCAUAAAAUUGUCAAACUUCUUGUACCACUGUCUAGGAGCUUGUUUAAGGCCAUACAAGCUCUUUCUCAGUUUGCAGACUAGAUUCUCUUGUCCCUGAACAAUGAACCCUUCUGGCUGAAUCAUGUAAAGGUCUUCCUCCAAGUCACCAUGAAGGAAUGCUGUCUUCACAUCUAACUGCUCAAGAUGUAAGUUUUCUACAGCCACCAUUCCAAGUACAAGUCUAAUUGUUGACAUCUUCACAACUGGAGAAAAUAUCUCUGUGUAGUCAAUGCCCUCCUUCUGUUGGAACCCUUUAACCACUAAUCUGGCCUUGUAACGUUUGCUACCAUCAUGCUCAUUCUUUAUUCUGUAUACCCACUUGUUGUGCAAAGCCUUCUUUCCUACUGGCAAUUCAGUCAGUUCCCAUGUCUGAUUCCCCAGCAGGGAAUCCAUCUCAUCCUUCAUGGCUAACUCCCACUUGCUUGAAUUCUCAUCUUGCAAGGCUUCAUUAUAACACUCUGGCUCACCACCAUCAGUCAACAGGAGAUAAUUUAAAACAGGUGAAUAACGUUGUGGAGGUCUAAUGUUCCUGGAAGAUCUGCGAACUUCAACUACAGGUGUCCUCAAAUCUACCUUUGAAUUUACAUUCUCCUUAUCUUCUUCACCCCCUUUUUGGACAGUACUUUCAGUCAAUUCAUCUAAGUUGACAAACUCAGAUUUCUUUUGAUCUAUCUCUGUAACAUUUGACGUUACAGUUAACCUGUCCUUGUACAUAACCUGUUCAUUAAAUAUCACAUUUCUACUUCUGAUAAUUUUCCUGUUUUGUUCAUCCCAAAACCUAUAGCCAAAUUUCUCAUCACCAUAGCCAAUGAAAAAACAUAUUUUUGACUUUGCAUCAAGUUUACUACGAGCAUCAGAAUCAAUAUGAACAUAAGAAACACAACCAAAAACUUUUAAAUGUGAAAACUUCACCUCUUUACCGCUCCAAACCUCCUCAGGAAGUCUGAACUCCAUGGGAACUGAUGGUCCUCGGUUUAUCAGGUAAGCAGCAGUGCUAACAGCAUCAGCCCAAAAAGUUUUUGGUAGUCCAGCAUGCAACCUCAUACUUCUAGCACGCUCAUUGAGAGUUCUGUUCAUGCGCUCAGCCACACCAUUCUGCUGUGGUGUCCCAGGAAUGGUCUUCUCCAUCCUAAUUCCCUGUGCAGCACAAUACUCACUGAAUCCUCCAUCUAUGUACUCUCCUCCAUUAUCUGACCUCAAACAUUUUACUUUCAAACCUGUUUCUGUCUCAACCAUGGCCUUCCACUUCUUAAAAGUUACAAAUACAUCAGAUUUAUUUUUCAGAAAAUAAACCCAUACCUUUCUACUUGAGUCAUCAAUAAAGGUGAUGUAGUACCUUGAACCUCCUAGGGAUGCAACCGGAGAAGACCCCCACAAAUCGGUGUGUACUAGUUCCAAUUUUUCAGCCUUCGGUGUCCUGCCAGUUUUCAAGAAGCUCACCUUUUUUUGUUUUCCUAAGAUGCAACUUUCACACAUGUCAAAAUCAAUGGACUUCAAUUCUGGUAGUUUUCCUUUUGACAGCAACAUCUUCAUCCUUUUCUCNNNNNNNNNNNNNNNNNNNNNNNNNNNNNNNNNNNNNNNNNNNNNNNNNNNNNNNNNNNNNNNNNNNNNNNNNNNNNNNNNNNNNNNNNNNNNNNNNNNNNNNNNNNNNNNNNNNNNNNNNNNNNNNNNNNNNNNNNNNNNNNNNNNNNNNNNNNNNNNNNNNNNNNNNNNNNNNNNNNNNNNNNNNNNNNNNNNNNNNNNNNNNNNNNNNNNNNNNNNNNNNNNNNNNNNNNNNNNNNNNNNNNNNNNNNNNNNNNNNNNNNNNNNNNNNNNNNNNNNNNNNNNNNNNNNNNNNNNNNNNNNNNNNNNNNNNNNNNNNNNNNNNNNNNNNNNNNNNNNNNNNNNNNNNNNNNNNNNNNNNNNNNNNNNNNNNNNNNNNNNNNNNNNNNNNNNNNNNNNNNNNNNNNNNNNNNNNNNNNNNNNNNNNGCCCAUUCCUCAGCCUUCAUACUCUCAGGUUUUGUCCCCAAAAGAGGCAGAUGCAAUUUCCUCCCAUAGAGAUAAUCUUCAAUCUGCAUCCUCUAAUACGCAAAGUCUGUGCCAUCAAACUUUUCUAUUCCAGACGCCUUUCCUGCUUCCUCUGCCAUUGCUCCCACUCAAACCUAACCCUAGGCUCUGAUACCAGUUGUAGGGAAUUAAACCAAAUUCCCAACCCGUGAGAAACAAAAAUUAGAGAAAACACACGCCAAAGAAAAACAAUCACACGCACAAGACAGUAUUUACGUGGUUCGGCAAUUUGCCUACGUCCACGGAGUUGCAGGGAUAUCACUAUUAUCAGGGAAGAAUACAGAGUACGACCUAGCGGCUACAAUAUUCUCUAUAUAUAUAUAUAGCACGGCAACCCUACCAUACUAAAAAACCCUAAUUACAAAAGGUGGUUCCACAAUGGGUUAAACGGGCCCAACAGGCCUCAAUAAAUCUCCCAUUAAAAAGUCAUGCAAUAUUAUUCGGGUCGGGUCGUCAAAUCUGAUCAAACAAAACUAGGCUCCACAAAGCCCAACACUUUGUCCCCAUCUAAUUUGGAUCAAGAAUAUUGUCGGCCAAUAUCAGUUUUUAAACACCAAAAAAAUAGGAAUUAAUCUUAGCAGCUGCCCUUUGUCCCCAUCUAAUUUGGAUCAAGAAUAUUGUCGGCCAACAUCAGUUUUUAAACACCAAAAAAAUAGGAAUUAAUCUUAGCAGCUGCCCUUUGUCCCCAUCUAAUUUGGAUCAAGAAUAUUGUCGGCCAACAUCAGUUUGUAAACACAAAAAACAUACGAAUUAAUCUUAGCAGCUGCCCUUUGUCCCCAUCUAAUUUGGAUCAAUAAUAUUGUCGGCCAACAUCAGUUUUUAAACACCAAAAACAUACGAAUUAACUUAGGCCUGUUUUAUAACUAUUUUCAAAAAUAUUUUUUUCAUUUUUUAAAAAACCAAAACAAAAAAACACAAACUAUCUGUUUUAUAUUCUUAAAAAUAGAAAAACGGAUUGUUUUCUAUUGUUUUUAUUUGCUUUUUGAGGAUUCUUUUUAAAAAAUAAUUCUACAAAUAUGCGUAAUAAUUAAAAAUAAAACAUUAAAUAUAAAAAUUAUUUUUAAAAUAUACUUAAAAAUAUUAAAAAUAUGAUGAAAAUAUUUUAUAUUUUUAAACAUAUUUUUAUUUUAUAAAACAUAAAAAACAAUUUUUAAAAACUAUUCUAAAAAACGAUUUUCUACGUUAUCAAAUAAAAUCUUAAUGCCUCUUUCCAACUUAGAAAAGAUUUGAAACUCAUUUUAAUUUUAAAUUUAUUAAUUUUUACUUAAUUAAACUAACUUGUUAACUCCUAGGAAAAACAAAUUUUAAUUUUGAUUUUGAAUCUCACGUUGAUUUUGAUUAGUUUUAUGGGGUUCACCAAUUUGUGGGAACGUGAGGCAUUUAAUAAAAUACUCUCCAACUUGUUGGUAUCAGCAUGGAGUUGUUGGGAAUGGUGAGGGCCACACAGGGUGUAAAAGAAGAAUUUGCGUGUAAAAGAUGAAUUUGCAUUAUUGGUAGUGGAUGCACAUGCGGGGUUUAAAUAAGAGAAAAGAAACCAAAAUGGUUUUUGUAAUACAAAUUGUACAAAUAUCCAUGUUAUUAUUUAAUAACACUGCUUGAAAUUAGUCAGACGUCAUCAAACAUGUAGGCUAUGUUUGAGAGAAAAACAUGAGGGGGAAAAAUACGUAGAAAAAUAAAAAAUAGAUUAAAAGAUAAUAAAUUAUUUUUAUAUGUUUUUUUAAACUAGUUUAACUUAUUUUUGUUAAUUGGUGUGACAUAUGUAAUGAAAAAAAAUUAUGAGAUUUUUCAGGAUUAUGAUGUUUUAUGCAUAUGCCGUAGCCACUCUCUCAUCUUGUUCCAAUUUUCAACAUAGUGGAUUUCUUUCUCUAGUCAUAGUUUUUCCCAUCUAAGGUUUUCUACAUAAAUUUGUGUGUUUUUAUUCUAUUUUUUUUUUCAUAUUGUCUAUUUUGGUUUUUUUUGUGGUAGAAUUAAUAUUAGAUAAUUUCAAAUUACAUAAAUUUCUAACCAAUUUUAAUUAUAUACAUAUAUAUAUUCAUAUUUUUCGUAGUGAAACUAAACAUAAAAAAAUUAUUUUUUUAAAUAUUUUUUUUUCUUAAUACUUUUUGAGAACCAAACAUAAUCGUAAUAUUAUUUAAGUGCUUUUUUAAUACACUCAUUAUAUAUUGAUUUGUGAAAAUUGAAUUUCACACCUCAUCAAUCACUCCCAUUUUUCUUAAAUUUAUUACAUAAAAUAAAAAAAACCCAAAAUAUAUAAUCUAUCCCAUUUAGGUAGUAAAAUGUUCCCAUUGAUGCUUGGACACUUGAAAAUGGUUUGCUACACCUUUUUUAAAUUAAUCAUUAUAAGUGAUUUUGUUUACGUAUUUUAAUUACAAAACUUGUUUGAACUACAAUAUUGUACAAAGUAAAUGUGGAAAAAAAAGCCUUAAAAAAUAUAUUUAGUGACUUCACCAAAAGAAAAAGAAAAAAAUGUUUUUAAAAAAAAGAUGUUUUCAUGUUUUGUUUUAUUAUAUAAAAUAUAAAAGAAAAUCAAACAAAAUUAAAAUUAGUCAAAAAUUCAUAUAUUUUUAAAUUAUUUGAUAUUUAUAUAUGAGAGUUAAAACAAGUUAAAUGAAUUGAAGUAUGUUUUUUAUUUUUCUUUUCUUAUAGUUUUCCUUUCUAUUUUUUCUUCCAUUCUUCUUCAAAUUUUCUGAAGCCAAACAUAACCUAAAAGUUUGUAUAACACCAGGAGCUAACAUAAGAGGUGGAAUUGACCAAUUCAAAAUUAUUUUGGCAUGAUUAAUAGAACUCUUGUCCAUUUGGGGAAGUUUCUUCCUCUAUAGAAUUCGCCUAUAAACUUUGUCAGAUUUCUACGAGCUCAUAGCAAUUCAAGCACAUUCAUAUCAUUCCCUUCAUUUUGCAAAUAAUCAAAAUCACUUUUUCAUUCCACCAUUAACUCUUCAAUGUUCUCCUUUCUCUUUAAAUUAAUAUCCAUCGUAUCUCUAAUAUUUUCUAUAACUUCGAAAAAAAUAGGUAUCCUCAAAGCAACUAUGAGCUUUUUCAGAUUUCUACCUAUGAGGUCGUAGUAACUCAAGCACAUUCAUAUCGCUCCCUUCAUUUUGCGAAUCAUCAAAAUCACUUUGUCAAUUCAUCAUUAACUCUUCAAUGUUCUCCUUUCUCUUUAAAUUAGUAUCCAUUAAUAAGAUCUCCUCCACAUUAUUAAAAUAUCUAGGCUCCAUUUCCUGCAUGAUACUCUAAGGAGGCUAGGGACUCCAUCAUCCGGAUUCCAAGAGAGGUGAGAGAUGUAAGAAGAAGACACUCAUCAUUUGAAAGGAAACCAUUUCUGAGAGUACUUCUCAAAUACACAAUGACAAAAUAAGCUUUGGACUUAUGUGUUAAUAAAAAAGUAUUUUAUUUCAUUUUUUUAUACAUCAUUUUCAAUAGAAAAUAAUUCUCAUUUUCAUAAUCAAACAGGCUCUAGACUUUCUAACUUUUUUUCUCACUAGCCUAAGUAACUUAAGCAACACUGAAAAGACAACUAUAUUUUGGGUUAAGCUUCCAAUUGUGUUGAUUUUUGGAGUUGAAGUUCUAGCUGCACCUAGACAUGUACGUUUAUGGUUUCAUUUUAAGUUGUGUCAUUAGCCCCUCAUCCUCUAAGACAAAAAAAGUUUAUGACACAAGAAAUGGACAUUUGUGAAAGUAAUGAAAUUAAAGGUCCACCAAGAUUUAUGUGGAAAACCCUCCGAUAAUGAGAGAAAAACCACGGGCCAGUCUAGAAAUAAUCCACUAUGGUAAAAAGGAUAUUACAAUAUUCUCACAAUUUCUUUUUAAAAAGAAAGGAAAAAAAAAAAAACUCAGGUAUUACAACUUUUAAAAAAAUAAAAAUGUUUGAGUCACUAUACUAGAGAACCAAAUCCUGCAAAAACAUCUGUUGCUAAUGUCUAAGGAGAAAACAAGCUUCACAUUUCUUACAUUCUACACUAAGCACCAAUAUGAGAGACGGUUGAUUUUGCUUGAGCCACUACAAAUGUAAAAGCACAACAUUGACAUCGUUAAGUUGAGUUCUUCUUGGAGAGCCAUAAGUGUGAAAAUUCCUUUCAUUUUUAUGCCAUCAACUAGCAGAAAAGUCAUUAUAUGGCAAAUCCAUCAAGCUUCCACCACCUACCACCUUAUAUUCAGGAAGCACCAAAAAAAAAAGGAAAAAAUGGUUAGCCCAACUUAAUAGAAUUUGUCUAACCCAAGCAUUGCAAAUGUGAUAAUUGCCCCUAAUGUGAAAUACCCCUCAAUACUUACAUAUAUACAAACAAUGAACCAUAAAAGUGCUCAUUGAAAUUCUAAUUAAGAAGCACUUGAGCUAGUGGUAGAAAUACAAUGGCAUGAAAAUUAUGACUUACACAACAAAGAAACCUAUGAAUUCUACUCAACCAACAAAAGGGAAAACCAUCAACUAUGAUUGAGUCAAUAACAUACCGUCAUACUUUUUUUAGGAACUUAGUCUGCCACUGCAUUAUUUUUCUCCCUCCUACAUGUAGAAAAGAAGUUUCUAUUAAUUAUGGAAGUGAAACCCCAUAUUUAGACCAAGAAAAAACAGACUUUAGCAUCUGUGGUUAGUCAAGCAUACUUGGCUGAAGGAAAGAAUGAUCUAUCUCUCAACUUCUAGAGUAGGAAUAACACAAUUCAAUAUAAAUUCAUAUUUCCAAUGAGGUCAUGUUGCUGAAUGUUGGAGAUGUAGGCAAUGCUGAUCCAAGCUUUCUCCUUUCUCCUUUAAGCAAUUUUGUCUCACAACAGGAGAAUUCUGGAUUUCAAGCACUAACUGUUGCAUUCAGCUCUUCCUUCAGCAAAAAGGACUAAAGCUUAGGACAACUUGAGAUCAAUAGCACUUGAAGAAACUUUCAGCAAAAAUUAAGGUUACCUGAAGUUAGAGGAACAAGUAGAAUGAAUUUUUUAUCUGUAAAAGCCUCGUGCACCAGUGCCACUCAUAGAGAGGCGUCUCAAGCUUCCCACAAUUGAACCCAAACUAAACAAUGGGGCCAAAACCCCUUCCAGAAAUUAAAGAACACCUGAACAAUCAAGGAUCAACCUUGAUACUGGAUGUAAAAAUGGAAAAGAAAAAAAUUAAUGAACAAGAGUAAAAUAUUUAAAAAUAAAUAAAAAAAGAAAAAUGGAAAAAUGUCGAGUUGUGAUAAGUUUUGAAAUGCAUUGUGUCUUUCUACAUGUGCAGAAAAAUUAGGGAGUUAAGAUUAUUAUUCUGAUGUUAAUGGAAUUAUGGGAGUAGCUUAAUAAUGGGCUGGUCUCUGCUUCCAUUUUUGUGAUUGAAAAAUAAAAUCCAAUUUGAAAUGGAUUCAUGUGUUAAAAACCUAACUAUUUCCCUCUACAUAGGGAUGUGAAAAUCUUAGGCCAAUCAUAUUUACAUGUUAAUUUAAAUAUUUGAGAAAUUAAGAAGCCAAUACCAUUCCUAUGGACUAAAACCAACUUCAUCAAAUUGUUGGAAUAGAAAUAAGCAAAUGUGUUUGAAAGAUUGAAUGAAAAAAUCAGGUCAGUUGGAACUAAACUAAGCAAGUGCAACUAGAAAUCUUCUUAAGAUCAAACUUAAGCCACAAUAAAAUUGUUGCAACUGAAUGAAUAAUUGAGAACAACAUACUAGCAUGUGAAUUUCAUCUGUAUGAGAUUUUUUGGCGUAAGGGUGGCAUGCAAAAGGAAAUAUGAUUUAAUUAUAUAGAAAGAAAAAUACGCUAGAAACAUUUUAGAGAACAAGGAAAUAAGAUAGAUGAGAAAAGAAAAUUCUCACAAUUUUAAAAUUUAGAUGAGAAAAUUUGAAUUGCUGAACAUACCUAGUUGAAAUUAAGGAAGGGAAAGUGAUCUAUGAUUCAAUCCAGCAUCCGAUAUCGACAGUUACCUCCUGGUUACAAAAUUGCAUUAAGAUAGAAAAAUGUAAAAUAAACAAAAACUCAAAAGUAAAAAUAAAAGAAUUUGGAACUAAGUUGCGAAUGGGCAUACUUCAACUACCUCUAGAUAUGCGGGGGAUGUGGGCGACGUUGGACCAAUAUUCUCCUCCCUCCUUUAAGUACCUUUCUUCUAUGGUAGGACAAUAGUUGAUGACAAGUUUUGUAAGUGUUGCAGGAAGCGGCCCUAAGGACCGGAGGUUAGGGCAAUAUGAGAUUCCUAGGGAUCGAAGAGAGAUGAGUUUGUGGAGAUCCAAGGAGGCUAGGGAUCCCAUUCGUCUGAUUCGUAGGCUGAUGAGAGAAAUGGGAAGAAGACACUCUUCAUCGGGGAAGGAAACCAUAUUUGGAAACAUGUUCCAAAUAGUCAAUUGAGAAAGAGAGGUGAGGGUGUUGAAGCCCCACUCAGAUAUGGGUGUUUUCAGAUUCAUACAGUCACCGAUCAAAAGUGAUUUUAGGUUAGAGGCCAAACCCUCUUCCGGAAAGGACUCCAAUCCUGGGCAUUCGGAUAUGGUCAGGCUGCGCAGAGAUUUGAGGUUUCUCAUCUGAUGUGUUAGAGAUUUAAGAUUCUCACAUCUGUCAAUUUGAAGGUAUUCGAGGUUAGGGAUGGACAAGCCUCUUUCUGGAAAGCACUCCAGACCUCCAUAAUCGUUUAUGCUUAGCUCCCGAAGGCUGUCAAGGAAUCCUUGUAGACUUUUCAGAUUUGGAUACUUCUCAAGU
rnacentral:lncRNA from 1 species